rnacentral:rRNA from 1 species
GACGAACGCUGGCGGCGUGCUUAACACAUGCAAGUCGAACGGAAAGGCCCUGCUUUUGUGGGGUGCUCGAGUGGCGAACGGGUGAGUAACACGUGAGUAACCUGCCCUUGACUUUGGGAUAACUUCAGGAAACUGGGGCUAAUACCGGAUAGGAGCUCCUGCUGCAUGGUGGGGGUUGGAAAGUUUCGGCGGUUGGGGAUGGACUCGCGGCUUAUCAGCUUGUUGGUGGGGUAGUGGCUUACCAAGGCUUUGACGGGUAGCCGGCCUGAGAGGGUGACCGGCCACAUUGGGACUGAGAUACGGCGCAGACUGCUACGGGAGGCAGUAGGGGGGAAUAUUGCACAAUGAGCGGAAGCCUGAGGCAGCGACGCCGCGUGCGGGAUGACGGCCUUCGGGUUGUAAACCGCUUUCGCCUGUGACGAAGCGUGAGUGACGGUAAUGGGUAAAGAAGCACCGGCUAACUACGUG